rnacentral:rRNA from 1 species
GACGAACGCUGGCGGCGUGCCUAAUACAUGCAAGUAGAACGCUGAAGAGAGGAGCUUGCUCUUCUUGGAUGAGUUGCGAACGGGUGAGUAACGCGUAGGUAACCUGCCUUGUAGCGGGGAUAACUAUUGGAAACGAUAGCUAAUACCGCAUAACAAUGGAUGACACAUGUCAUUUAUUUGAAAGGGGCAAUUGCUCCACUACAAGAUGGACCUGCGUUGUAUUAGCUAGUAGGUGAGGUAAUGGCUCACCUAGGCGACGAUACAUAGCCGACCUGAGAGGGUGAUCGGCCACACUGGGACUGAGACACGGCCCAGACUCCUACGGGAGGCAGCAGUAGGGAAUCUUCGGCAAUGGGGGCAACCCUGACCGAGCAACGCCGCGUGAGUGAAGAAGGUUUUCGGAUCGUAAAGCUCUGUUGUAAGUCAAGAACGGGUGUGAGAGUGGAAAGUUCACACUGUGACGGUAGCUUACCAGAAAGGGACGGCUAACUACGUG